rnacentral:lncRNA from 1 species
UUGGAGAGGAGCGGUGGGGCACGAUUCAGUCCACUGCACACGUUCUCCUCUCCAGACCUCUCACUGGGAGCUUGUCAUUGCCUGGAAGAGUGCUGGGCACACAAUAGUAUGAUCAGCUCGUCGAAAGAAUGAAUCAAUGACACUCUGUCUUCGUGGAGAGCAGCCUGGGUGUGGAAUCAGGCACCCCCGGGUUCAAAGCCAUCACUGGCGAACUCACAAAGAGUGGGACUCACCGACCUGAGGGUUUGCCAGCACACUCGUAGCCCGUGGGACUAGAGUAUUUGUGAGAGAGGAGCAUGGUCUUUUGAUUGAAGAACGGAAGUCAUUCGUGAAGGACACAGCACACACAGCCCAGAGAGCUCGCAGGUUAAAACUGGGCAUGGAGCAAUGUCUGCCAGCCAUUCAGGGGACUUCAAAAUAGGUCAGAAUACAUUUCCAGAAAGUGACACCAUCUUUUUGGGUUUGGGUAUAAUAAUAAAUCUAGG